GUAAACGGCGGCCGUAACUAUAACGGUCCUAAGGUAGCGAAAUUCCUUGUCGGGUAAGUUCCGACCUGCACGAAUGGCAUAAUGAUGGCCAGGCUGUCUCCACCCGAGACUCAGUGAAAUUGAAAUCGCCGUGAAGAUGCGGUGUACCCGCGGCUAGACGGAAAGACCCCGUGAACCUUUACUAUAGCUUGACACUGAACAUUGAAUUUUGAUGUGUAGGAUAGGUGGGAGACUUUGAAGAUGAUACGCCAGUAUUGUUGGAGUCGUCCUUGAAAUACCACCCUUUAACGUUUGAUGUUCUAACGAAGAUUACGAAACGUGGUCUCGGACAGUGUCUGGUGGGUAGUUUGACUGGGGCGGUCUCCUCCCAAAGAGUAACGGAGGAGCACGAAGGUUUGCUAAUGACGGUCGGACAUCGUCAGGUUAGUGCAAUGGUAUAAGCAAGCUUAACUGCGAGACAGACAAGUCGAGCAGGUACGAAAGUAGGUCAUAGUGAUCCGGUGGUUCUGAAUGGAAGGGCCAUCGCUCAACGGAUAAAAGGUACUCCGGGGAUAACAGGCUGAUACCGCCCAAGAGUUCAUAUCGACGGCGGUGUUUGGCACCUCGAUGUCGGCUCAUCACAUCCUGGGGCUGAAGUAGGUCCCAAGGGUAUGGCUGUUCGCCAUUUAAAGUGGUACGCGAGCUGGGUUUAGAACGUCGUGAGACAGUUCGGUCCCUAUCUGCCGUGGGCGUUGGAGAAUUGAUUGGGGCUGCUCCUAGUACGAGAGGACCGGAGUGGACGCACCACUGGUGUUCCGGUUGUGUCGCCAGACGCAUUGCCGGGUAGCUAAGUGCGGAAGAGAUAAGUGCUGAAAGCAUCUAAGCACGAAACUUGCCAAGAGAUGAGUUCUCCCUG
rnacentral:rRNA from 1 species